rnacentral:rRNA from 1 species
UACAGAGGGGGCAAGCGUUGUUCGGAAUUACUGGCGUAAGGGACGGCGUAGGCGGCCUUCUAAGUCGAACGUGAAAUCCCUGGGCUCAACCCAGGAACUGCGUCCGAUACUGGAAGGCUUGAAUCCGGGAGAGGGAUGCGGAAUUCCAGGUGUAGCGGUGAAAUGCGUAGAUAUCUGGAGGAACACCGGUGGCGAAGGCGGCAUCCUGGACCGGCAUUGACGCUGAGGCGCGAAAGCCAGGGGAGCAAACGGG